rnacentral:rRNA from 1 species
UACGUAGGUCGGCAAGCGUUGUCCGGAUUUAUUGGGUUUAAAGGGUGCGUAGGCGGCUCAUUAAGUCAGUUGUGAAAUACUUCAGCUUAACUGGAGAGGUGCAAUUGAUACUGGAGAGCUAGAGUACUGAUGAGGUAAGCGGAAUGGACGGUGUAGCGGUGAAAUGCUUAGAUAUCGUCCAGAACACCGAUAGCGAAGGCAGCUUACUAAGGAGUAAACUGACGCUGAGGCACGAAAAGUGUGGGGGAUCAAAACAGG